UACGUAGGGUCCGAGCGUUGUCCGGAAUUAUUGGGCGUAAAGAGCUCGUAGGCGGUCUGUUGCGUCGGCUGUGAAAACCCGGGGCUCAACUCCGGGCCUGCAGCCGAUACGGGCAGACUAGAGUUCGGCAGGGGAGACUGGAAUUCCUGGUGUAGCGGUGAAAUGCGCAGAUAUCAGGAGGAACACCGGUGGCGAAGGCGGGUCUCUGGGCCAUAACUGACGCUGAGGAGCGAAAGCGUGGGGAGCGAACAGG
rnacentral:rRNA from 1 species